GGAUUGUGGUUCAGCGGUAGAGCAUUCCCCUAGCACCCGCCUAGCACGGGCGGGACCUGGGUUCGAUCCUCAGCACCA
rnacentral:tRNA from 1 species